UCCGAGGACAAUUUAAAUUAUGCAGUGUGCUCUUCCACACUGUGGCAUUUAUCUUCAUGAAUGAAACCACAUGGACAACUUGACGUGAUUUAAAAUAAAAAAGUAAAACAAGGAGUGGGGGCCUGCCAAUAGCAAAAGUGGAAACAGAAAUAUAUGGCCAGAACGUCAAUGAAUAUGAAAGAGAACAAAGACACCAAAGAAUCUUAUGGCAAAUCAGAAUGAGGCGCCGGAGGGCUCCCGUCCCAAUUCUGCUCCUCCAGUGGUUUUUGUUUGGAAAGAGAUUCUGAUGACAUUAAUGGCCUAAUAGUUGUAAAGCCACCCAAUGUUGAUAUGGCAAACUGACAUCAAAUAUUCCUUUCAGUACUUGAGAGCCUAUGAAAAUUCUUGCCUAGAGGAAGCCACCCUCAGACGUGUGCCUUCACUUGUAAGUCAGGAGUCCUGCUCUGCGCAGGACGGACAGGGGACAGAGACACCCAGCUCCUCCCACCCAUCAGGUCUAUGAUUCUGGGUGAGCAACGUCGACUCACGCUGGCUCCCGAUUCCUCUCUUUCCAGGGUCUGGAGGAUGAAGCUUUAACAUGUUUCGAGGGAGCUGGAUACCUGGGAACUCAAUGGCAGUCUGCCUCCCUAACAAGGGGAACAAUUCGAUUAUCCUGCUUACGGAAGAUAAAAGAUAACACUGGAACACUUCCUUUCGGAGAAAUCAGAAAUCAACUAUGACCUUUCGAGUUUAAAAAUAUUUCUCUAUUGCAUUUGUACAUUUUUCUUAUAAUGAAACUCUGACCUGGGGAAUGGGUUUCAGUGAUUGCAUUUGACUGGGAGAAAAGAAAUAGAUGACUAUGGGCUUCUUUUUUUUUAAGCUUGGGCUUUAUGUUACUGUCACUGGAUUUAGCUGUUGAAGCUUUUAAGGCUAAUGGUGGCUGUAAUGUACCAAACAGUGCAGGAGAGACGAAGAGUGGGAAUUAAUUUAGCUAUCCAUUUGUCAAGAUUCAGUUGGGGGAUUUUUUAGGAACCAAUCUAAAUCUUGGGGAUAGCCUGAACCUUUAAAAUGGGACACGGAAUCAUUCAGCUCCAUAACCUUUAAUCUGUUUGAAGAAAGGAGCAAAUGUUAAAUUGCACAAGUGUACUUUCUGGGCAAGAUAAAUAUAUAUAAGACAGCUUGUUAAGACACAGUAAGCCUAUAAGAUCACAUCCAUUAAGGCAGCGGAUUCUACAAUGUUGUUUUAGUGGCAAUUUUAGUUGAAUUCCUCCUGGGUGUGCCGGUGAGAAUCUGGACAUUCAUUCCCACAAACGCAUUCCGUGUGUGGAGAGGGUUCAAGUGCCAACAUCGAGGGGCUAAAGGGCAUCUCUGAGAUCAUCUUACAUUACCUUGAGCUGAGAGGCCAGGAGCAGAGAGAGAGAAGCAACAACAAGCCCCUACUAAAGGUACUUUGGAUGUGGACAGAAAUACAGCCUUGUUUGUUUUUAGACUUUCCUCUUAAAUGGAGUCUCUGCAGUCAGAACUGUGAUAACAGUGAGUUGUAGCUGUUGGAAGACAUGAGAUCAGCUUUAGUCUGGAGUGAAGGAUUAAAGAGCUGUGAACUGGAGCGCCUUUGCUGCAUGGCUGAGAGUGACUGUGAGGGGGGAGGGGUUCAGGGGGUGUUAGAAAAGGUCUUAAAAAAAAAAAAAGCCUAAGCUAGUGAGAGGCUGGCCACAAUGGAAAGUGUUGUUCCAUAUUAAAGAGGAAUGCAGUGUUUAUACGGAGUGAAUAAGGCCUUGCCUGCCUUCAAACGUAAACCUGGCUAGCUACCUGGCUGGGACCUUCUACACUGAGAGGGCAGUGGACACGGGUGAUCUACACAGACAGCCAGAGCGCCGUUCACAGGAAACUAGAAAUAUCCGGGAACAAGAGCUCAAGCCUGAUUCAGUUUUUUUCAACCUGGAGAAGAGCUCCCAUGAAAACUGAAAAUGUCUCCAGAAAGUCAACGUAAAGGAUGGUUGCCAUAUCCAGGGUGGUAAAGAGGAUUUACACAUGAAGAACGAUGAGUAAAACAUUCAGUGUUUUUAAAGAAGUUCAGCGAUAGGAUUGUAUACGGGCCACGUGGCUCAGAGAGAACUUGCAGUCUCAUCAGAUAACAGAAAGAAGCAGAAAAGUUAUUUUUAAAAGAGAUUUUCUUUUUUCUCAUAGAAUAAUUACUUCUGCACAUUUCUGUGGUAGGACCCUGUAAAGAGUGGGUGGAGAAGGCCUUCCCUAAGGAGAUUCUGUAUGUCUAGUUGACACGGUGCAGCCAUGGCCUUUUCUCUCUUGGUAGGCAGAGGAAACUCCAAGGCUCCCAGACAAGCAACAUCAAGCAGGAUGAGAGCCACUGGAUGCCAGGCAGGCAUGGAUGGCAUACCCCCUCCCAUAGGGACAGUCAGAAUAAGAGACAGUGAAACUCAUUUUGAAUAAGAGUUUCAGACAGUCCAAAGAGAGAAAGCCACAGAGUUACAACUGCUGUGGCUGCCACUUCCACCCCUCCAACAUUUAACUAAGGGCAGCAAGGGGUUCAUGAGUGCCCAGCACAGAAGAGACAGUGUCCCUCUGAUCUCCUGAGACUGACUACCCAGGCAACACACAGGUAGCAACACUGUCAGCAGGUACUCUCUGGGGCAGGAAGGACGAUGACGCAUUUGGGAACAUGACCCACACGGGCAUGUUAAAGGGUGUAUAUUUUCCUUCAAAUGGAUUAAGAUGAAAUUAAGACAAGGAGAAGAUCCAAAGCCAGAAUACUUACCAUUUUGUCAACCAUGGCUAAGCAUAAGCUAUCAGCAUGGUCUGUAAUAGCCAGGCUGUCAUUUUCCCUAGCAUUUUUCUUUGAAUAGUGACGUUUAAAAAAGAACUCUCUUAUGUGAAAGCUGCAACAUAUCUGAUCUACUGUUAAAUGCCUGGAUGUUAAAGAUUUUCUGAGAACUUGAGAACAUAGUAUCCAAUGCCUUUGAAGUUCCUAAAUAAAGGAACAAUUAAAUUCCAAGGAUUUAAAGGGAACUUUCAGGCUUCUUUUUAUACAUACCAGAAAGACAUUAUACAUUGAGGACAUUUUCAAUGGUAAUGAAGGUACCA